rnacentral:rRNA from 1 species
AGCGAACGUUAGCGGCGCGCCUAACACAUGCAAGUCGCACGAGAAAGGGAGCAAUCCCCGGUACAGUGGCGCACGGGUGAGUAACACGUAGAUGACCUUCCCUGGAGUGGUGGAUAACCUGCCGAAAGGCGGGCUAAUACAGCAUAUGACCACGUGGUUUUGACCGCGCGGUGAAAGCGGGCCUCUGUUCACAAGCUCGCGCUCUGGGAUGGGUCUGCGGCCCAUCAGCUAGUUGGUGAGGUAACGGCUCACCAAGGCUACGACGGGUAGCUGGUCUGAGAGGACGACCAGCCACACUGGGACUGAGACACGGCCCAGACUCCUACGGGAGGCAGCAGUGGGGAAUUUUGGACAAUGGGCGCAAGCCUGAUCCAGCAAUGCCGCGUGCAGG